GACGAACGCUGGCGGCGUGCUUAACACAUGCAAGUCGAGCGGUAAGGCCCUUUCGGGGGUACACGAGCGGCGAACGGGUGAGUAACACGUGGGUGACCUGCCCUCAGCUCUGGGAUAAGCCUGGGAAACCGGGUCUAAUACUGGAUAUGACUCCAUGACGCAUGUUGUGGGGUGGAAAGCCUUGUGCGGCUGAGGAUGGGCCCGCGGCCUAUCAGCUUGUUGGUGGGGUGANGGCCUACCAAGGCGACGACGGGUAGCCGGCCUGAGAGGGCGACCGGCCACACUGGGACUGAGACACGGCCCAGACUCCUACGGGAGGCAGCAGUGGGGAAUCUUGCGCAAGUGGGCGAAAGCCUGACGCAGCGACGCCGCGUGAGGGA
rnacentral:rRNA from 1 species